rnacentral:miRNA from 1 species
AUCUAGAGAGGAAGAGUGGAGCGG